CCUACGGGUGGCAGCAGUGGGGGAUAUUGCACAAUGGGGGAAACCCUGAUGCAGCGACGCCGUGUGUGGGAAGACGGUCCUCUGGAUUGUAAACCACUGUCCCCAGGGACGAAGAUGACGGUACCUGGGGAGGAAGCUCCGGCUAACUACGUGCCAGCAGCCGCGGUAAUACGUAGGUGGCAAGCGUUGUCCGGAUUUACUGGGUGUAAAGGGCGUGUAGCCGGGUUGACAAGUCAGAUGUGAAAUCCUGCGGCUUAACCGCAGAACUGCAUUUGAAACUGUUGAUCUUGAGUACUGGAGAGGCAGACGGAAUUCCUAGUGUAGCGGUGAAAUGCGUAGAUAUUAGGAGGAACACCAGUGGCGAAGGCGGUCUGCUGGACAGCAACUGACGGUGAGGCGCGAAAGCGUGGGGAGCAAACAGGAUUAGAUACCCGGGUAGUC
rnacentral:rRNA from 1 species